CAGGUGCAGGAGUGGCUGUGUAGUAAGAAGUUUGCUUCCCAACCUCAUGGUUCCAGGUUCAGUCCCACUGCGUAGCACCUCGGCUGGAUGCCCCUCCUGCCACCAACCUUCACCUGUUUUCAAGCAAGGCAAUAUUUCCCCAUGACUGGAAUGAUUUCAUAGAGGAAUGGAAACAAAUGACACUGCUUGUAAGAAGGUUUAUGUUGCUGGAAACAGUGAUGCUGAUGUACAGUAAGACAGUAGUUCAACAAACAUGUUUUUCUAGCAUGUGUACCAAACUAAAAAAAAUAAUAAUUGGGGCCAAUAUGCCCAACUAAACCCUUAAAUGGUGGUACCCCAGCAUGGCUAAAAUCUAAUAAACGAAUAUAUAUCUUUUAUCAAAUUGGAGGGCACCACCUACUCCGGAUUGAAAUUUUGCAGAUUUUGAUGUAUUUUCUGUUAUUUUGUUUUAAAC